rnacentral:rRNA from 1 species
CCCCGAACGGUGGAUCACUCGGCUCACGGAU